GGCGGGUCUUUGAAUUAACCUAUAUAAAGUAAAUAGAUGCAAAACAAUUCAUUAACAUUCCUUGAGUAAACAUGAUUUCAUCAAAUAAGGAUAAUGUGUUCUUGGAGACUGCUGAAUUGGCAUGUUUCUAAUGCUUUGAAUGAACAUGAUUAAGUUGUGUCUGGGGUGGCCUCCAGUCCUGAGGUGGCGCUAGUGCACCACUUUCUAAGACAAGAAGAACUCGGAAAGUUUCAAAGCCAGAGAGCCGUUCGCCUCAGCUCGGUCCUACUCUUCAGUCUCAUCUCGCUGGAAUAGUGUUGUCAUGUGUGAAGAUAUACACGAAAUUGAGACUUCUGGCACAGCGGCCUGCACUGUUCGAAGUCUGUAAGAUCAGUGCUGAAUUCAAAAGAAUCACCACAGUUCCCCUGCAAUCCAAGCAACUGUUGCUGAAUUGGCUGAUGUAAGUUUCUGUAUUUUUUGCCUGUCUACUUGAUGGUCCCUGAGCAGAAAGCCUUUUUUUACUAUUAAGUUACACCCCUGCAUGUUAAAACCCCAUAGAGAGGAUCAUGAUCUGCCUUAGUAGUCAUGGUACCAGUACAUUCAUAUGCCAUGUUUCUUUUGGUGGCAGUCAGCUUCCCAAUGUUGAUGCCAUUCAUAGAAUCUCAAAACAAAUCAGUCCCACCACCAUUUUUGACCGUAAACACGGGACUAUUUU